GGAAGGAUCAUUAUCGAAAUAAAUAAUCUAUAAACCUUUUACACCUGUGCACCCACUGUAUGUAGCUCGACCUCGUCGUCGACCUAUGUAUGUUAUUUCUACACUAUUGCAUGUAAUGAAUGAAUGAGUUGGGAAUAAUAAACAAAUAUACAACUUUCAGCAAUGGAUCUCUUGGCUCUCGCAUCGAUGACGAACGCAGCGAAUUGCGAUAAGUAAUGUGAAUUGCAGAUUUUCAGUGAAUCAUCGAAUCUUUGAACGCACCUUGCGCUCCCUGGUAUUCCGAGGAGCAUGCCUGUUUGAGUGUCAUUUCAGUUCUCAACCAAGUGGCUAUCGCUAGUUAAUCUUGGAUUGGACUUUGGGAGUUUGCUGGCUUUGAUCGAGUCAGCUCUUCUGAAAUGAAUGAGCGAUCGGACAAGCAAGUCUUGGAUGGCCUUUGGAUGUGAUAAUGAUCGUCCGAGGUCUGUCUGACUUGAAUGGAUGAAUGCUUAACGACCGCUAGUUAUUAGUCCUAGUACGAACACAGCGGUGCACUUUGAACUUGACCUCAAAUCAGGUAGGACUACCCGCUGAACUUAAGCAUAUCAAUAAGCGGAGGAAAAGAAACUAACAAGGAUUCCCCUAGUAACUGCGAGUGAAGCGGGAUAAGCUCAAAUUUUGAAUCUGACGGUCACUUGGACUGUUCGAGUUGUAAUCUAGAGAAGCGUCUUCCGCGCUGGACCCGUGUACAAGUCUCCUGGAAGGGAGCGUCAUAGAGGGUGAGAAUCCCGUCUUUGACAUGGAGAACCAGUGCUAUGUGAUGCGCUCUCGACGAGUCGAGUUGUUUGGGAAUGCAGCUCAAAACGGGUGGUAAACUCCAUCUAAAGCUAAAUAUGGGCGAGAGACCGAUAGCGAACAAGUACCGUGAGGGAAAGAUGAAAAGAACUUUGGAAAGAGAGUUAAACAGUAUGUGAAAUUGCUGAAAGGGAAACGCUUGAUGUCAGUCGCGUCUACUGGGGAUCAACCUUGGCUUUAUUGCUGGGCGUACUUCCCGGUCGACGGGUCAGCAUCAGUUUCGGAUCGCUGUACAAAGUCAAGGGGAAUGUGGCACUCUUCGGAGUGUGUUAUAGCCUCUCGUCGGAUGCAGUGGUAGGGACUGAGGAACUCAGCACGGCUUCAUUGCUUGUGCUUAGGAUGCUGGCAUAAUGGCCUUAAGCGACCCGUCUUGAAACACGGACCAAGGAGUCUAACAUGCAUGCGAGUGUUUGGGUGACUAAACUCUUGCGCGAAAUGAAAGUGAAAGUUGAGACCUCUGUCGUGGAGGGCAUCGACGCCCGGACCCAAGUCUUUGACGAGGGAUCUGCGGUAGAGCAUGCAUGUUGGGACCCGAAAGAUGGUGAACUAUGCCUGAAUAGGGUGAAGCCAGAGGAAACUCUGGUGGAGGCUCGUAGCGAUUCUGACGUGCAAAUCGAUCGUCGAAUUUGGGUAUAGGGGCGAAAGACUAAUCGAACCAUCUAGUAGCUGGUUCCUGC
rnacentral:misc_RNA from 1 species